GCCUGAGACUGCAAAUAUGCGUGGUCUCACCCAUUAAAUUUUAGGCAUAUUGCUUACUGGAGAGACAGAUGGCAUUAACCGCUGAAACGAAAGCCGAAAUCGUCAACGAAUACGGCCGCGGCGAU
rfam:Halomonas sp. JB380 genome assembly, contig: Scaffold4